CAGCAGCCGCGGUAAACCGUAGGAGGCAAGCGUUAUCCGGAUUUAUUGGGCGUAAAGCGCGUGCAGGCGGUUUGGUAAGUUGGAUGUGAAAGCUCCCGGCUCAACUGGGAGAGGUCGUUCAAAACUGCCAGACUAGAGGGUGGUAGAGGAAGGUGGAAUUCCCGGU
rnacentral:rRNA from 1 species